rnacentral:rRNA from 1 species
ACUCAAAGGAAUUGACGGGGACCCGCACAAGCGGUGGAGCAUGUGGUUUAAUUCGAAGCAACGCGAAGAACCUUACCAGGUCUUGACAUCCCUUGCCAUUCCCAGAGAUGGGAGGUUCCCUUCGGGGACAAGGUGACAGGUGGUGCAUGGUUGUCGUCAGCUCGUGUCGUGAGAUGUUGGGUUAAGUCCCGCAACGAGCGCAACCCUUAUUGCUAGUUGCCAGCAUUCAGUUGGGCACUCUAGUGAGACUGCCGGUGACAAACCGGAGGAAGGUGGGGAUGACGUCAAAUCAUCAUGCCCCUUAUGACCUGGGCUACACACGUGCUACAAUGGAUGGUACAACGAGCAGCGAACCCGCGAGGGCAAGCGAAUCUCUGAAAGCCAUUCUCAGUUCGGAUUGCAGGCUGCAACUCGCCUGCAUGAAGCCGGAAUCGCUAGUAAUCGCGGAUCAGCACGCCGCGGUGAAUACGUUCCCGGGUCUUGUACACACCGCCCGU